UCCCGGGUGGCUCAGUUGGUUAUAGCGUCUGACUGUUAUGUGCAAUCAGAAGAUCGGCAGUUCGAAUCUGCCUCUGGGAG
rfam:Exidia glandulosa HHB12029 unplaced genomic scaffold EXIGLscaffold_195, whole genome shotgun sequence.